rnacentral:rRNA from 1 species
AGUGAACGCUGGCGAUAGGCCUAACACAUGCAAGUCGAACGGCAGCACAGUAAGAGCUUGCUCUUACGGGUGGCGAGUGGCGGACGGGUGAGGAAUACAUCGGAAUCUACUUUUUCGUGGGGGAUAACGUAGGGAAACUUACGCUAAUACCGCAUACGACCUACGGGUGAAAGCAGGGGAUCUUCGGACCUUGCGCGAUUGAAUGAGCCGAUGUCGGAUUAGCUAGUAGGCGGGGUAAAGGCCCACCUAGGCGACGAUCCGUAGCUGGUCUGAGAGGAUGAUCAGCCACACUGGAACUGAGACACGGUCCAGACUCCUACGGGAGGCAGCAGUGGGGAAUAUUGGACAAUGGGCGCAAGCCUGAUCCAGCCAUGCCGCGUGUAUGAAGAAGGCCUUCGGGUUGUAAAGCCCUUUUGUUGGGAAGGAAGAGCAGCAGGUUAAUACCCCGCUGUUCUGACGUUACCCGAAGAAUAAGCACCGGCUAACUUCGUG